AUUGAACGCUGGCGGCAUGCCUUACACAUGCAAGUCGAACGGCAGCACGGGAGCAAUCCUGGUGGCGAGUGGCGAACGGGUGAGUAAUAUAUCGGAACGUGCCCGGUCGUGGGGAUAACGUAGCGAAAGCUACGCUAAUACCGCAUACGAUCUACGGAUGAAAGCGGGGGAUCGCAAGACCUCGCGCGAUUGGAGCGGCCGAUAUCAGAUUAGGUAGUUGGUGAGGUAAAGGCUCACCAAGCCGACGAUCUGUAGCUGGUCUGAGAGGACGACCAGCCACACUGGGACUGAGACACGGCCCAGACUCCUACGGGAGGCAGCAGUGGGGAAUUUUGGACAAUGGGCGCAAGCCUGAUCCAGCAAUGCCGCGUGCAGGAUGAAGGCCUUCGGGUCGU
rnacentral:rRNA from 1 species